UUUCAGCAGAAGGAUUCAGGUUAGAUUGAAAAUUCUUUUUAAUGUUAAGGAUAGUGAAGGACUGGAUUAGUUUUCCACAGAAGACUUUAACUGAAGGUUUUUAAGAGAAGUGUAGACAAUCUGCCAGAAAUUACCCACACGUUGUUAAUCACCCCUUGGGAUUGGGAGAGAAAUUGGAUUAUAGACUCCUCAAGGUCCUUUUCAACUCUGUUCUUCUUAGACUUUUUGGGAUUAAAAAAAUAUUGUCAGCUUCAUAAGAAAUAAUAACUUAUAAAUAUUCCUAUAGGAGGUAAAAACUUCUGCUUUUGCAACCUUCCCCAGUCUUAUGAAAGGGUUUCUCACUUCAUGGAAGUUUAUUUAUCAAUUCAUGAGACAGAUGCUUUCUUCCAGUGUAUUUGCUACUAUUUACUUCAGCAUCUUUUCCACUUUCCAAGUUCAGUACUGCUGGAAGCAACAUUUCUUAACAUUCAGUUACUGGAAAUCCUUUUCCCAACAGAGCACUGGCAAAGUGAUUUAAUGACAGCAGUAUCAGUGGUACUGAGUAUUCCAGAAAUUUGUACAGCUUUUAAAGAGAAGGGUAAUAAAGAAGUGGGGAAGAAACAAAGAACAGGAAAAGGAGAAAUACAUACUGACAUGAAGAAACAGUGGAAAAAACUAAGCAGCAACAGAAAAUGCUUAUGAAUGAUGAAAUAAAGUGAAAUGGAAAAUGUUAAGAAAGCAGCUAUUUAGGAGUGAAGGUCAAAGUGAGAAAACGCAAGUCAGUGGGAUGCUUAAAAAGAGCAAGUCCACAUUUUCCUGUAGACUUUCUCUAUUUUUUGCUCGCGUUCUAUUGACACAACACCUGCUAUUGACAUUUGAAAAAUAAUGGAGUGUUCUAAGCAUUGUUCAUCUGUUUUAUUUGUAAAUAUUUUCAGUUAUUUUGAGGAAAUGCCAAAUGAAAACUUCACUAAUUCAGCAAUGAAAAGGAAGAUACAAGUAUGAAUGAACAGCCACAAAAGUGUUUCAAGUGGGCCUGGUUUUAUUUUGUUUUUUCCUUGUAGACUUGCAACAGGUAUAAAAAGUUCGAUUCCCUGAAUCCACUUAGUAUUUUUAGUGGAGACUGCUUAAAUCCAUCACCUUUAUGUGUAGCAAAAAAGGAAAAUACAUGAUUCCUACUCUAAAUGUGCUGCCCACUUGCAGUCUUUGGUAAAUGAAUCUAAGGUAAGUUGAAUUUCGUAAUACCUGUAUUUUGUUGGUUUAUUCCCAGUUGUGGGUUUUCAUCUGCAGCUUUUUGAACAUAAGUUGUGUUCUUACCUUAAUGCAGCCUGUGGUCUUUGCAUUGUCAACACAGCCUGAAUUCUUGAUGUGAUGGGUAAAAAGACAUUGUUUUGAUCCAAUGUCUGAAGCAGUGCUCUGCAAUCCUCAGCAUAGACCUUGUCGCAGCAGGACAAGCAUGUGAUUUGUGUAAAUGCAGCAUCUUUGUGGCUGUACCAUUCCCUGUUAGAAGUGUACUACAGUACGUCUGUGCUCUGCAGAGCCCAGCCUCAUAGGAUACAUAGGCUGUAGGGCAUUUACUUUUGCAGACUCUUCCCUAAAACUCCUACAAGUGGACAGCCUUCUUCAGGAAUGAGAGAAGAGACACAAUUUGCCUCUAAGACUGCAGAAGUAAAAGGAAAAUUGUAUCCCACAAGUGUGAGGCCAUAAUAUAAACUCACCAAUCAGCAGUAACUUCUUUGAGAAAGAAAAUGGCUCAUCUCUACUCUUAAGUGCUUCUUGUAGCAACUUUAGGACCAUUACUGCAGGUAAAUCGAAGACCAUUUAGUGCUAUGUGAGAUUCUCAGUUUGGCCUAAAUCUGCUUUGAAAAUUCACAGGAAAACCAUCCAAAGUGUGCUUUUUAAGGAAAUAAUGUUUAAUAAACAGAGUAAUUGACUCUUAGUUGAGACAGACUUUGCUUUUUAGGGGGGGCAGCAGGUAUUCAGACUCCAAAAUGAGAUUGUGACAAAUAGUUUCAGAACUAGUAAACAACAAAACUGGCUACCAAAAACAACAGUGCGGUAACCCAGAAAUAAUGCAACACAAGCUAGUUUGUUUGGCAACUGCCUGUAUAAAUAAGACAAAGGUCCUUUAGGGUUGCUAAGCCAGCACAAAGCUUCUUAUGGGCCAAAAAGGGAAAACAAAAAUAUGUCAAAUAGAUGAUUCUUUGUCAUUAUGGAUUUUUUGUUUUGUUUUGCUCUGCAUUUCCUAAUGUAUCUGUGGAUUUAGUUGGGUGGAAGGAUGACGUCAGCUAGUCUUUUUUCAGUCCUUACUAUUUCUGGUUACUCUUUUGCAAAGCUCAGAGGCUAGUUAAUUUUUAGGAAGUAAAUCUAAUUCCUUAUAAUGAAAUUUGGUUUCCUGCUGUUGUUUUACAUAUAAUCCAAAACAAGAAUGUGUACAACAUGAAACAUGAAAAGAUGAUAUUUUUCAAAGAAACGUACCAUAAUUGUAUCCAAAAAACGUGCCUGUGUACACACUAACAUCAUAUCCAUAUUAUUAAAUAGUACUUCUACUCAUGCUAGUAUUAUUUCCAUUUUAAUUGGGAUUUUGCCCUUAGCAAUUAAAUCCUCUGCAGAAGCAGCUUAGCAUCCAGAACCUGCUAGGAUAAUUCAUUGAAGAGGGACAUUUUCAGGGACUACACCAGUAGCAGAUCCAGGAUUUGUACCAAAAGCCCACUUAGUGCUGCCUUUAUGUAGGAUUCUGUAACAUACACAGAUUUGAGAAUACUGUGGCCAGUAUUUCUUAUGCCUACUGUUGUCCUAUUUAAUGGUUUUUUGUAGGCUACUGAUAGUGUUGGGUUUUUUUUCCCUCCAUAUUAUUUCACGUUCAAUACAGAAAAUAAUACCGUACUAAGAUGAGAGAUUUUUUUUUACCUCAACUAUCUGGCUGGGCAUUAAAUGCAAACUUUUCCUUGAGCCUUUAUAAUAUAAUGCUCCCAUAAGAAUGAUUUAGGACUGUUUCAAUUUAUAUAACUUGUGAAUUGAAAGGUGAACAAAAAUGUCUUUACAAUUGUGUAUCUAGCAUAGCUGCAAAAAUAAAUUGAAUUGAUCCAGCUUUUUUUAAAAUAAGGGGAAGACAGUCUAAGUCCCCCUAUCGAGUCUGUUUUAAGGACAAGCUGAAGUUUAUAUUUCCUCAAUCUCUAGCUUAUGGGGAAUGAUAAGAAAAAGUGGCACUUGGCUAAAAUUUAAUUAUUUGUAUUAAUUUUUAACAAGUGUGUUCUGAACUUACGUUUAGGAAACCAUGCGUUUGAUUUUGGUGUUGGAUAUUGUGGAUGAGUAUGUACAACAAAUGCAGUUUUCCAGGUUUCCUCUGCAAUGUAUAUGACAGAUUUAUUUUGGAACCAUUAGGUCACAGCACAAUAAAAAUAAAGUAGUUAAAUGGAAUAGUAUAAAAACUGGAUUAACAAGCUAGAUAUCUCUGCUACUAGAAACAAAUUAACCUAAACUAUACAGGUUAUAUCAAAGCAGCUAAUGAAACAUCUGUAAAACUUAAAACAGAAGGAGCAGAACUUCUCACAGUUUAUGACACAAAUGAAGUGUCAGACUUGUACAGCAUAUACAUGGAGUACAUCUGGUACUAGUUGGCCGUGACUGAUUAUGAAAUGAAAAAGAUUAAUGAACACGCAUUAUGGAAAAAAUCUGAAUUUAUGAUUUAAAAAAAAAAAUAAAAGAAACUUUGGUUAAUUCUUUCAGUAUAAUUUUCAAAAAAUUGAUGUUCUGGGAAAUUCAGAAAAACAUUUAUGUAUAAAAUCAGUGAUCAGUAUGUAUACUCAGAACCUUCAGGUGGGUGUGAUUUUCUUAAUUAGUUAUUUAAAAAAUAAACAGCUAAUAAGAAUUAGGUUAAAAUCUAUUUAAAAAAACAAUAGUUUUCUAUGGCCACAUCACUAAUAUUGGGACAGAAAGCAUCUCCAUAUUCCUGGAUUUAGAACUUUACCAUGCCUGCAUCCUGACUCUGUAUCUGAGUGUGAAUUUAGGGGGUGGGAAGCUGUAAGCGCUCUCUAUUCUGUAUUAUUCUAGAUGCAAUUAACUAUAUGGUGUUUACAUUGUGGCCAUGGGAUUUUCCUGCUUUUAUAAAUACAGUUUAUUUUUAACAGGAGUUUGUGAACUUGCCCUUCUAUCUUGAAAUGAGAUCUGUAUUUCUUCCUAACACAACUUGACUGGCUUCAGUAAACUUAGACCACAGAGGAAUGUGGCCUAUUUUUUUUUUCCAAUUAUUUAAGUUAAAUUUUUAAUGGAAGGUUACUCUAGUGCAUCCAUGAGUUGAUUACUAUUAAAAUACAUUACCUUAUAAAAUUAGUUUUAAGAUCACCUAUGAAAAUGGCAUUUAGAAAUCUUGUUGUUUAUCCAGUUUGAUCCUAAAAUAUUACUGUAUCUGCAGAACAUAGGAAAGCUCAUAGUGGAAGACAGUACCCUUGACAUCCCUCUGUGUGUUACUUCCUGAAUUCUUGAGAAAAUCAGUUUAUAAUAGUAUGUGAAUUACAUGUCAUAUGAAUUAUAUGAAUGGUAUAUAGAUUAAUAUGAAUUAAUUUAUCCUUGACAUAGCUACUCAUUCAACAGGCAGAAGCAAUGACAGAGUGAAAGAAUGCAGCAAUCAAUAACGUUCUGUUUUAUGGAUGUUGGGAUUUUCUAAUUGAAAGAUCACCAUCCAUAAGAACCUUCCUUUAUUACAGAUAUUUAUUAGUAAUACUGCUGUAACACCCUAAUCCCUAGAUUUUUAUACUUAAAUCCCUUACAUGAUUGUUGCUGUUGAGUUGUGUGGUGUAUUCCUACUGUGAAUAAAAUAUUUCUGACAAAAUAUUUGUCCUGGUUUCAGCUGGGAUAGAGUUAAUUUUCUUCUUAGUAGCUGGCGCAGUGCUGUGUUUUGGCUAUGAUGUGAGAACAAUGUUGAUGGCACACUGAUGGUUUUAGCUGUUGCUGGGUGAUGUUUUUACUUAAUCAAGGACUUUUCAGUUCCUUGGGCCCUGCCGGCCAGAGGGCUGGAGGGGGAUGGGAAACUGGGAGGGGACACAGCCAGGACAGGUGACCCAAGCUAGCCAAAGGGACAUUCCAUACCAUAUGACGUCAUGCUGAGUAUAUAAACUGGGGGAAGAAGAAGGAAGGUGGGGACAUCCACUAUUAUGAUGUUUGCCUUCCUGAGUAACCGUUACGUGCAAUGGAGCCUGGCUUUCCUGGGAAUGGCUGAAACCCCUGCCUGCCCGUGGGGAGUGGUGAAUGAAUUCCUUGUUUUGCUUUGCUUGUGUGCACGGCUUUCGUUUCAUGUAUUAAAUUGUUAUCUCAACUCUCGAGUUUUACAUUCCUUUCCGAUUCUCCUCCCUAUCCCUCUGGGUGAGGGGGCAGUAAGCAAGCAGCUGUGUGAUGCCUGGAUGCCAGCUGGGGUUAAACCACAACAAUAUUUAAGUUUUAAAAGCUGUUUUCUCUGAAAGGCAGCACUAAUACCAUUUAUAGUCAACCACAGGUACAUUCCUAUAAAGCAGCCUUUGCCAUGUUGUAGUAGCACAGCAUCUGCUAUAUUCUCAGCUCCUGAGGGGACUCUAGAGAUUACAAGACAAUUUUAAUUAGAUCACUGGUAUUCACAAGAGAUUCUAAAUACUAGCACACAUUACAGUAAAACUAUGUUGAAAGUUAGGUUGACUGUGAAGUUGAUUGUAAUCCCUGAUUUUAACUGUCUUUAAACUGCAAAGACAUUUCUGAUGCUGACCACAGGUGGUUUUGUUUUGAACAUUUGACUGGGAGAAUAGUUAGAAAAAUUGCUUAGGAAAUGCAUGGUGGGUAGUGAUGGUUCUAAGAACGGAUUUAAGCAAAAAGCUACUACCUAUUAAUCUGACGUACAUGGUUAUCAGCUGUUAUCAUGUAUUCUCAAGUUCUGACUAAAUUCUUCUCAGUUUUCUUAUAGAAUUUAGUACAAUCGUUUGAAUCUUUUUACCUCCCCCUUGGCAAAGGCAACACAAAAAAAAACCCAAAAGAAGAUAAUUUCAACUUUUCAAAGCUCACAAGUAAAACACAGAUAUCCUUUGAAAAUGAGAACUGAUUCCCUGCAUAAGAAUGGAGUUCCGUAGUUCAGUCACCUGCAGAGUCACCUCUGGCAGUCCAGUCAAGCUUUCUUCCUAAGGACAAUGAUGGAUAGAACUGUAUUACUCUUGCGGGAAUGUCUUGGGUUUAUCAUUUUACAGCAGAUCUUGAUCACUUCUGCUGUCCAUUAUCAUUAUCUGCAAAUCAUUUAUAUCAGAUAUAGUAAGAAGAAAUGCUAGACUGGAAUGCUCCCUGCUUAGAUAAACUCCAGAGAUGUCUUUUAAAGUUUUGUACUGGUGCAUAUAUGACCACAUAGUCUUAUGAGAAAUAAUUUAAAGAUUGGUAUAUAUAGGUUAGAUUGUAUUGGUGAUUCCCAUUACUUAAAAUAGGUGCUUUUUUAUGCAGUAUUUGUGGAUUGAUUGGUUUUUUAUUUGUUUGUCUUUUAAAGUAUAUGGUAUCCAAGGCAGGAAUCAAGCAUAUUGUGUUUGUAGAGCAAAUACGGUAAGAGUGAAGAAUGAUACUUCCUACAGCAGCACUGUAAUGAGACAAAAUAGCUUGGGUGAAAUUCCGGUUAUGGUAUUGACAGCAACAUAUUUUUGCAAUUAUUUCCACUCCUCAAUCAAAUAAGAAGCAAUUUGAGAACACAUUUCCCACAUAUAAACCCCUGAUCUUAUUAAAUCUGCAGAGGAAUUGGUUUUGCCAAGUAUGCUUUAAAUCGAAAUGCUACCGAACUAUUUAAAAAAUGAAAGCUUCUACAAGUCUUCAUAUACAAUCAAUUUUGGUUGUGUUGCUGUCUUCAUUUUCUGUUUCUCCCUUGCUAAUAAUUACUGUCUGUAUACUAUUUUGGUUUGGUUUAGUCUUUUUGGUUUUAAAUCACUUUUUCACCUAGUGCCCAGAUGGCUUUGGUUAUAAGUUGGCUUUGUCAUUUUUUUAUGAUGGAAGGGAUUAUGAUUGAGAUUUGGCUUCUCCAUCUACCCUUGUGUGCAACAUUUAAAAAAAAAACCACAACACACCUCUAACUAUAGAAGUCAUUAAAUCAAGAUGUUUGCUUAAUUUUCUUAAAGUGUUUAGCGCACAUGAAGUUAAGCAUGUGUAUACGUCUUUGCAGUGUUGACUCCUACAUCAUUGUUAUUUCAACAAAUUUUUAACACAUGUUCUUUCUUAUUUAGCAUAACCUUAAACCAUACCUAACCUUAAAUCUUUCAGCACAGAAAUAUAUUAUUUAGCCAAAUGUUUAUGGAAGAAAAAUCCUACAGGAAUUUUCAUUAUUGUCUGUUAUGAUUUUGUAUAUACCCUUUGUUUAAAUUGAAUAUACCAAGCAGAAGAUUUCACUAUAGAUCAUCUUUUUGCUGUCAUUCCUGCUGCAGAUCCAGUGCUAGUAGUCAGAAUUACAUGAAGACAACUAUUGGACAUUUUUUAAAAGGAGUUUUACAGAUCCAGCUCUUGAUGGAAAGUCUGUAAAGCGAUCAUCCCAUCUGUUCUACCCAUAUAUGAAAAUAGUAGUUGUCUUAGACACUUGAAAUGCCUCACUUAAUGCUGAUAAUGGUAUCACAAACCUUGUGUCAUAUUUGUACAAAGUAUAAUGAUUACUUCCCUACAACAAACAUUUUAAAUAUUUUUACUGUAUUAUGCAAAUAUAAAAAAUAGGAUAAAAACUUCAAUACCUUUCAUUUGGUAAUGUCUUAACAUAGGUGAUCAGUGCUGGACUAUUGGCAAGAAAAGUAACAGCUGCUCCUUCAUAUACUCUUAUAAUGAUAGGAUAUUUGGUGCAAGUGUGAUCUUACUAAUUUUGUUAUUUUAAGAAUAUGUCUUUUGUGCUCUAAGUCUGGUUGAUCUGAAUUUAUUUAUUCCUUUUUCCUCUCCAGUAUUUGUCUUCUUAACUUCCAGAUUUCCUCAGGUAUCAGGAAUAGAAUUUGAACUUCAUCCAGAUGCAGAACCAGGGCAUGGAAUUGUAGGACACUCAGUAAAAAACCAAGGACUGUAUCUGAAGUAAAGCAAGAUCUACCAACUUGCCAUUGACAAAUAUUUGGCUAAUCCUUUCAUAAACGUCUUGUAUACAUCCAUAAACGUCUGGAGAGAGCGAAGAUUGCAUCACUCUAUCUCCUCUAGGCACCAGUGACAGAAAUUUUGUUGUACUGGUUUUUCCAUGGUUACAGAAGUUGCAAUUAAUUUAAAAUAACUUCAAUAUGACAAAGAAGGCUUUAAAAGCAGCUAAGACCAUAUUGUUACUGGAAGACCCCCUUCAGUUCUUAUAUAACUGAGAUUAAGGUGGGAUAUAUGUAUUUUAAAUAUUGAAUUAGUUGGGCAGGUCUGAAAAAUCCCACCUAAGAUUUUAUUCUUUACAGCCAUGAAUACAGCCCUUUAAGGUGGUUUUAGUUUCUUCUCAGUGAUGCUUGAAUAAAGCUGUUUCAUUCAGAACACUAUUUACUUAUGAGAAGGGACAGAUAACUGAGCUAAGGAAUUUUUUUUAGAUGACUACAAUACUAACUUAAAGGCCUACUCUUUGAAGAGACUUUUGCCAUCAAUUCAUGAAACUUACAGGGUGAAAUAUAUUCUUCUACCAAUAAGCUAUGGCCCUGUCCCAAAUUUGAAAUGCAGAAACAAAAACCCCCCAAAUGGAAUUUACUUACAGGCAGUUUAAGACAGUGAGUACAAAUCCUUUUAGUAGUUCAGAAAGCAGUUCUCCUUUAGUCAAAGACAUACAAAACACUCCAGAAAUGAAGCAUUAUUCUUUGUCAUCCAUGUUCUUGCACUUAAAUGAACAGUUCAUGGCAUGUUCUAAUGCUGGCUAUCUUAUAUCUUGUUCAAUGUUUCCCACACCCAAAAGACUGUGAAUAAACGACUCUUAUUUGUAUCAUAUGUCUCAGCUUGUGAACUUGAUUUGAUGGCUCUUUCUAAGAAAAUUCAUUGCUUCAUAGAGAGGAAAUGCAGAAUAUGGUGUACAGUUUUUAAACUGACUGUAAAGAGGGACAGAGAAGUCAGUAGUAGAUGCAAUACCAAAUAUCUUUUAAUAUGUUCCAAAAUAGGAUAGGGAAGUCUAUCAGACUGUUGUGGUUUAACAUGGCAAGCAGCUAAACACCACACAGCCACUCACUCACCCUACACCCACUGCAAUGGGAUGAGUGAGAGAACUGGGGAAAAACCCUAAAAUUCAUGGGUUGAGAUAAAGACAGUUUAACAGGACAGAAAAUGAAGGGAAAAUAUGAAUAAUUAUAAUAAUGGUAAAAAAAUUUAGAAUAUACAAAAAAAUGGAUGCACAGUGCAAUUGCUCAUCACCUGCUGACUGAAGCCUAGGCAGUUCUUGAGCAGCAGCCCCCUGUCAGCUUUCCCCCCCAGUUUAUAUGCUGAGCAUGACGUCAUAUGGUAUGGAAUACCCCUUUGGUCAGUUGGGGUCAGCAGUCCCAUCUGUGUGCCCUCCCAGCUUCUUGUGCCCACUUGCUGGCAGGCGGUGUGAGAAGAGAAAAGGCCUUUACUCUGUGAAAGCACCGAUCAGCAGUAACAUAAGCGUGUUAACAACAUUAUUCUCAUCCUAAAUCUAAAACACAGCACUACCAGCUACUAGGAAGAAAGUCAACCCUGUACUAUCUGAAACCAGGACACUGACAUUCUGGGAUAAGCACCUGUUACACAUGGACUUUUGAUUCUAGAGAACGGUGUGAAAAGUGAAGACAGUUGAAACCAUUUUCAUAGAUCUAAAUUAGAUAAGCCAGACAAAGGAUCACAAGCUUCUAUGAGUGGUGCCAAAACCCAGAAAAAAGUCUGUCUCAAAGCAUCCACAUUAGCUAAGAUGUUCUAUUUGUAAUUUUGCCAAAGCAAUUUAUAACCCUAUAUCUGUAAAGGCUUCAAAAAUUCUGCUGGGAUUAGAUCGUUUUGUUUUGAGAAAGUAUGAAGGAAAUCAGGUCAAAGCCACAGAACAAAACCUAGAAAUCCUAUUAGCAUUUCACAAUGGAGAGCUUGAGAUAAUGCAAUGAUGAUCUAAUUUCUAAUGAAAGUAGAUGUCUAGAAGUUCAGUGAGAAACAGAAGCUCCUCAUUUUUCUUCUAAAUCUUUUUCUUUAACUAUCCUCCCUUAGGUUCACUGGCUAUGCCUCUUGAUCUCUGUACAGCUGUGUGAAUUGCUUUAUACCUAUUUUUUCUGUCCUUGAAAAGCCAAUGAAAAAAAUGUAACCUUUUUUCUGUUGAACCUACUCCUAGAACAAGCACCCUUUGAUGGAUAAUAAAAGUGGCCUAAUUGAUGUCUUCCUUAUCUUUCCCAAUUGAUCCUGCUGCAGCUGGCAUGUUGGGUGCAGGAAAGAGUCAUUCUAUUCACAGCCUGUCCACAGCUAAUACAGCCCCCACAUUACUUUAAACCAGAACAGUGGGCUGAGGAUUUCUAAUGGACUUCCUGAUACAUGCAUACAGGUCAAGCCAAGUUAUUCACCCUCUCUGAAUCCCAUACUAGCUCCCUCCUUAUCAAUGCAUUGUAUUUAAACUCUUUUUCCUCACACUGAAAAUUAAAAUUAAAUUAGUUUUUCAUGAUUA